UCGGCCCUUCCCCGGCUCGGCCCGGCCCGGCCGCCUCUCUCCGGGUGCCCGGGGAGCCCAGCCGGGCGCGGGGCCAGCGCCGCCGGGAAGGUGCGCGGAGCCGGGCACCGGGAAACUGCAGGGGGCACGGAGCGUGUCUGGGAACGCUUCCAGACGGGGGUGAAAGCUCCUUCCUGGCACGGGCUGAAGCAGCGCCGUGGUGACAAGUGUCCCCACCGAGGGGAGUGCCGGUAGCAAGAGUGAGUGGGAGUGUGCUUGUGUGUGUUAUAAAGGCUCUCAGUGCUUGGCAAUUUGAAGAUCUCUGGCAUAUUUUAGACCAUGGAAUUGAUUAAAAAUAUUUUAAAGUUGCCCUGCCAUUAUUUCGAUGUGGAAAGCAAAAGAACAUGCUUUGGAUGACUAGCAGGCUAUGGCAGGGACUGCCUGUUGUACCAUCCUGUGUUGGACUGCAUCCUUGCUGCUGGAGAGCAGGCUCUCCUAGAACCAGAAUGAGAACCAGGAGCCACGGGAAGCAGUUGGAGAAAUAUGUGACAGGACGACGCAAGCAGUCUGUCUGCCCCUUUCAGUGGAACCUUUCACCAAAGGGGGAUAGGAGCCUCCAGAAGAACGUGUCUCCAGAUGCAGCCUGGCCUGCAGAAGGUACAUUACAGAUGAAGUGCUGACAGUCUGGCAGGAAACAAAUGAAUAUUUUCUGGGAUGCUUCCUUCAGGGCUGGAGAAGUCACUGUAACCUGAAGGUCAGCAAUGAUGGAAGACAUUCAUCCCCACCUUUAAAUAUGGCCUAAAUCAGGAAGAAUUACAGUUUCUUUUCCUUGUACCUUGCUUUUGUAGGGUACUCUGAUGUAGUGUGUUUCUGUGAAGUUUGAAGGGUGUGUGUCUCGGCAGGAUGGGGUGAUAGUUGUUCUGUUGUGGUCCUGAAGGCCUAACUGAAUGUACCAGAGCAUAGGUCUCACAUCUUCACCAGAGUCCAGAAUGGUUGGAGUCUAGAACUGAAUCCUUUCCUGUAAAUUGUAAACUUGAAUUUAGUUCUUCCAAGAAUCCUUGAAUUUAGAGUAUUGCACCCAUAAGUAUUGAAAGAAAUGCUUCCACUGCUACUGCUCUUGCAUUCUUCAAUUACAGUGAUUAAAACAUAUGGGUUUUAUCUCAGUUAAUUUAUAUAGAGAUACAGCUCCGUGGUAGUUUUUGCCAUGUUGAAGUAUCUUGGAUAUACUAACAAAAACAAGCACUUCUUCAAUUUCAAUAGCAAUAUCAUAUAUGAAAUUUGUUAGAAUGAGGAGUAUGUAAGCUGUCAAAAACCAAUUUUAUAUAUUCUAGUUUUCUGACUUCAUUAAUACAUUUUCAUGUUUGCAACAAAAUCAUUGAAGUUUGGAUACAACAAAAUACAUCAGUUGGAUAGCUGAUGAUGCAUUAACAAACAGGGAAGAGCAAAAACCACUGCAGAGCUGAUAUCGUAAGUCUUAAUUUUUGUAGUCAACAAAAAUAUUUGCUUUCAUUUUGAUAUUUCACCAAACUCUUCUAAUUUAGUCUCUGUUUUAGAGUUAUGGCUUAGAGAAAACUGUAUCUACCUACAGAAAAUACUGAAAUGAAACGGUUGUUUUUAAUUAACAGCAUUAUUUUCCUCAAAGUGUCUUUUUACCUCAGUGCUGACCGAGCUGAGGUAUAAACUGCUAAAUCCCCUAGCUGCAGCAUGUCAGCUCUUUAGUUCACACAGCAGCAACGUGCACCCUUCCCUUGGAAGCCUGAGACAGGGAUCAUGACAGUCUUUAGGCUGCCAGUAAAGAAAAAUCCUGUGGCUGGGCUACAAUGGAUUUCUGUGUUUUGAUUGUCAGGGAAAACACAAAGAUUAUUUUUUCCCCCCAUCUUCUGUGCUAUGCAAAAGCCUGCCACAUGACAGUAAUUAGUGAGUACCUGGUGAUGAGGGAAAUACAGAUCUCCAAGCGAUACAGGGUUUGUUAACUACACACAUCUAAUUACUGUCUUUGUAUGCACAGCCAGCCAAGGAAUUCAGUCAACUACAUUACAUUAGAAACGACAGGAGUUACAACUUCCUGUGGUGUCUUGCACUUUUAGAGGCUGGAAAAAUGUUGCAGGGUGAGAGGCACAAGCAGUGCUGUGAGAGCAGAGAUUACCAGUGGUGCUUACUGCAAUUACUCCUCCAAGGAUUUCCAGCCUUCCAGCUUCUGUUUGAUUUUGAUGGUCUUGUUAGGUGUCAUUUUUUGGAUACUACUUAUUCAGUGCCCAUUAAUUAGCAAACACACUUGUAGGACUUCCAUUAAAGGAUUAGGGGUCUCAAAAGAGGAAAACAAAUCGGGUUUUUUUAGCACAUCAAUAAUGUAGCAUUUUGAUAAUGAAAUUAUGGAGCUUUUAGGUAUAAGCACUGAUUCUGCUUGAUUUUUCCAUCUUUUGUUUUUAAGGCAAUUAAGUAAGACUAAGCAUGGCUAGGAUGUGAGUAGGGAAGACUAAGUUCCAAAAGAAACUUUUUUAUUUUUUAGAAUACUUGAGAAUCAGAUUAAAUCACUUUAGUUCUUGCUAGGUAGACAACUUUUAUUAUCUUGAGAAGGGAAAAAUAAAGACAUGUUUACUGCUUUCUUUUCUUCUUAAUCUGAAUUAUAUAGGCAGAUUCAGCAUAUACAAGUCCCAUAAUUGUACUAACAAAUAGUAGCAACAAUUUUUCAGUAAGAUGUCAUUAGGUAGUUUAACCUUGUUUUAACAUAGCAUUAAUGACUGUUUAUAAUUAAGAGUAAAAUUACAUGCAUAGUUAAGGAAUUUGUGUGUUUGAUUUACACAUUUAGAAUGAGCAGACAUGCUUCCCAUUUCUGGCUGCAACUGUUCUGCUUUUCACCUCUAAAGUAAGUGAGAUUAGCUGGAGGUAUCAUCUUUUCCAUCCCCUGAUGAAGAACAGCAUGUGCUCCAAAGCAUAUGUUGGGGUCAGGAAACACCCCAGGGUAAGAAUGAAAAUAGUGGGCAAAAAAGUAGGUGAGAGACAGAUCACUGAUCCUGAAACAUACAGUCCCUGGCAUAUAAUGCAGUGGUGCAUGCACUGGUACCUUGGCCAGCCUCUGCCAGCUUUCGUCUGUGCAGAGGAAGUAUUCCAGGUACAUUUAGAAAAGGUUCUUGCACCUUCUAGGUGCUAAGGCAAGACAUGAUUUAGGAAGUUCAGAAUAAACAGCCAGACAUGGGUUGGACUUGUGCUGUUGGAUUGAUAAUGAUCUAAGCCGAAUCUCUAAUGUGCUGUGCAACAGAGCAGGGGACUAUGCUAUCUUGUGUAGUAGGAGGAUGGUAGUUACCAUGCAAGAUAAAGACCUCAAUGUUUUCAAAAGAAAAAGCACCAGUUUGCCAAGUGAAAUUGUGUACUGAUGUUAAUCUGUGUCUGCAUACCUUCACUGCACACAGGCAAGCACAGUGAAAGCUUAAUGAUGGUAACCUGGAGAGCAACUUCUGAAAAAAGGCAGAGUUCUGCAUAAAAAAUGCAUGUGCCUCAGCUGAAUAAAUAACUUUUGUAUCACUGUAUGAAUCUGACAGUCCUCUGCACAAUGAUAAUGAUGUAAACUUCACUGUAAUGGGUUGAUACCAAUGUUCUAGAUGUUAGUGUAUUACUGGAGCAAUGAGAUGCGUGUUGCUUUCUUUUCUUUUUUUUUUUUUAACACUGGCCUCAGUAGGAUUUUUUGCAAGAGACGAAGGGAAAUGCUGCUGUCAACUUGCUACAUGAAUGCCACUGGAGGGAAGAUUCAGAAUUUCCCAAGUGACUCAUACAUAUCUUAUGGCUGGAGAUUUCUGUGGGGUUGUCAGAGUGAUUUAGUUUCUUCUUUGGAAACUGCCAUCUGCAUCUGUGGUCUGUCAGCCCUCAAAGGUCUUCCCCUUGCCCUUCUGUCUCUGCAGUAAAUUUACAGAUAUGGAUUGCUUUUCUUUGUGUACUGUUCCUUGAUAUUAUUUUCAUGUUGUUUGUUCAUGGCAGUUUUUUUCUUGCCACUUUUUUCCCAUAAGAAAUUUUGAAGUGUGUGCUUCCUUGUCAUAACUGUGUAUUUGUAAGCUCCAAAGACAUCUUUAUAGGCAUUGUACCUAAUUUCAAAUUCAGAUAUUGCUUUAAACUUGGAAACUGUAUGGACAUUUAAAAAAAUGCCAAAAACAAACCCUUAAGACUUUGAGGUCAAAAGUUCUUCUUU